CCUACGGGCGGCAGCAGUGGGGAAUAUUGGACAAUGGGGGCAACCCUGAUCCAGCCAUGCCGCGUGUGUGAAGAAGGCCCUCGGGUUGUAAAGCACUUUCAGUGAGGAAGAACGCCUGGUGGUUAAUACCCAGCAGGAAAGACAUCACUCACAGAAGAAGCACCGGCUAACUCCGUGCCAGCAGCCGCGGUAAUACGGAGGGUGCGAGCGUUAAUCGGAAUUACUGGGCGUAAAGCGCGCGUAGGUGGCUUGAUAAGCCGGUUGUGAAAGCCCCGGGCUCAACCCGGGAACGGCAUCCGGAACUGUCAAGCUAGAGUGCAGGAGAGGAAGGUAGAAUUCCCGGUGUAGCGGUGAAAUGCGUAGAGAUCGGGAGGAAUACCAGUGGCGAAGGCGGCCUUCUGGACUGACACUGACACUGAGGUGCGAAAGCGUGGGUAGCAAACAGGAUUAGAUACCCUGGUAGUC
rnacentral:rRNA from 1 species